CCUAACAAUGCCUAAUGAAAGGCAUUGCAAAAUCUGUUUUUUCCAACUCUACCUCUGUCUUUUCUAGGAGUUUCAUGGUGGCCAGAUUUUUUCCAGUUUUACGAUAUGAUUGACAUAUAAUACUGCAUAUGUUUAAGGUGCACAUAUUUUGUGGAAUGAUUACCACACUAAGUUUAAACAUCCAUCAUCUCAAAUAGAUACAAUUUUUUUUCUUACCUAAGAGCUCUUAUUAUUUACUCUUUUAACACCUUUCAAUUAUGCCUACAGCAGUGUUAACUACAGUCAUUAUGUUGUUUGUGUCAUCCCUAAACACUUAUUUAUCUUAAAACUAGAAGUUUGUACUUUUGACUACUCUCCUGAUAGCUGUUUCUGAAGUGAAAUGACAUCAUGGUAUCUAAUGCAACAAAAAGGUAAGGAACUUUACAUUAUUUUUCAAAAAGAAGGAUAGUUUAUUUGGUGUACAGUGUGAACCCAAGAAUAUUGCUGACUUUGAGAGGCUUUGUUUCACAGGACAAAGACAUCAGGUUUCUUUCUGUCUAAUAUCUCAAAUCCUUAGAUUUUGCUACAAAGCUUUAGAUUAAGAAAUAUCAAGUACCAACAGAUGUGCUGUAUUUAAAGAAAAUAUUCAAAGAAAGUAUAAAGAGGUAAGACUUGAAGUAUUGGAAGUAUUCUCACCACAGGGUCCUUCUCUUAUGUAACUGACACAUAGGCAGAUAUGCUUCCCCCUUCUCUAGGAGUAAUAGCUGUUUCCUUGCCUAUAACUUUAUGAAUAAUUUCCCCAUUUUCUUUUCAACUAUAGUUCUCAAUAUGCACCCAGGAGAGGAAGAAGAGGUUAACAUGCUAAAGUCCCAAGCAUGGAAGUAGAUACUGGAGGCAUCUGCCUUCCUUUUUUUCCAUUUCCAUGGCAAGCUGUUUCAAGGUGCUUCAUGAAAAGCUUCUCAAAACCAAUGUGUUCUAAAAGCCACAAGUUUGAUGACUGAUAAAAGAGUCACGAGAGAGAGUUUUUGCAUCUCUUCUUUAAUAGAGAUCUUGAAAAGCCAAAUGACUGAGAAAGAG
rnacentral:lncRNA from 1 species